rnacentral:lncRNA from 1 species
UAGGAAAACACUUAGUCCGCCUAGGAAAACCUAGGCACUAGGCUCCCCCUCCACCACCUAGGUAUUUUUAAAACACUAGCUUAAAUCACAAUUUGUUAUUCCACAAAAUAAUGUUUUAAUGAGCUCAUGCAAUAACUUGGCUGAAACAAUAAAAAGGAACAAAAUGAAAAUUUUGCAGGUUAAAUGUGUAAACUUCAUGCAUAUCACAACUUGAGGAAUGCAUUAUACUCGAGUGAUUACAAUGGUCAUAUAAGGGAAAAUGAG